rnacentral:rRNA from 1 species
CUCGCAGGCGGUUCCUUAAGUCUGAUGUGAAAGCCCCCGGCUCAACCGGGGAGGGUCAUUGGAAACUGGGGAACUUGAGUGCAGAAGAGGAGAGUGGAAUUCCACGUGUAGCGGUGAAAUGCGUAGAGAUGUGGAGGAACACCAGUGGCGAAGGCGACUCUCUGGUCUGUAACUGACGCUGAGGAGCGAAAGCGUGGGGAGCGAACAGGAUUAGAUACCCUGGUAGUCCACGCCGUAAACGAUGAGUGCUAAGUGUUAGGGGGUUUCCGCCCCUUAGUGCUGCAGCUAACGCAUUAAGCACUCCGCCUGGGGAGUACGGUCGCAAGACUGAAACUCAAAGGAAUUGACGGGGGCCCGCACAAGCGGUGGAGCAUGUGGUUUAAUUCGAAGCAACGCGAAGAACCUUACCAGGUCUUGACAUCCUCUGACAAUCCUAGAGAUAGGACGUCCCCUUCGGGGGCAGAGUGACAGGUGGUGCAUGGUUGUCGUCAGCUCGUGUCGUGAGAUGUUGGGUUAAGUCCCGCAACGAGCGCAACCCUUGAUCUUAGUUGCCAGCAUUCAGUUGGGCACUCUAAGGUGACUGCCGGUGACAAACCGGAGGAAGGUGGGGAUGACGUCAAAUCAUCAUGCCCCUUAUGACCUGGGCUACACACGUGCUACAAUGGACAGAACAAAGGGCAGCGAAACCGCGAGGUUAAGCCAAUCCCACAAAUCUGUUCUCAGUUCGGAUCGCAGUCUGCAACUCGACUGCGUGAAGCUGGAAUCGCUAGUAAUCGCGGAUCANCAUGCCGCGGUGAAUACGUUCCCNGGGCCUUGUACACACCGCCC